UACGAAGGGUGCAAGCGUUACUCGGAAUUACUGGGCGUAAAGCGUGCGUAGGUGGUUCGUUAAGUCUGAUGUGAAAGCCCUGGGCUCAACCUGGGAAUGGCAUUGGAAACUGGCGACCUAGAGUGCGGUAGAGGGUAGUGGAAUUCCCGGUGUAGCAGUGAAAUGCGUAGAGAUCGGGAGGAACAUCUGGGGCGAAGGCGACUGCCUGGACCAGCACUGACACUGAGGCACGAAAGCGUGGGGAGCAAACAGG
rnacentral:rRNA from 1 species